rnacentral:rRNA from 1 species
CGGCGGACGGGUGAGUAAUGUCUGGGAAACUGCCCGAUGGAGGGGGAUAACUACUGGAAACGGUAGCUAAUACCGCAUAACGUCGCAAGACCAAAGAGGGGGACCUCCGGGCCUCUUGCCAUCGGAUGUGCCCAGAUGGGAUUAGCUAGUAGGUGGGGUAACGGCUCACCUAGGCGACGAUCCCUAGCUGGUCUGAGAGGAUGACCAGCCACACUGGAACUGAGACACGGUCCAG